AGAGAGCUCGAUGCCACAGCAACAAUAUUGGCUAACCGGCAAGAUGAAAGUGAGCAGUCUAGGAAAAAACUUAUUGAGCAAAGUCGGGAGUUCAAGAAAAACACUCCAGAGGACCUGCGCAAACAGGUAGCUCCAUUGCUGAAGAGUUUCCAGGGAGAGAUUGACGCAUUGGGUAAAAGAAGCAAAGAAGC